rnacentral:sRNA from 12 species
ACAAUGUAUUGUAACAAUAAAGAACUCAGUGUAGAACAGCUAGUCCCUGUGCUGAGAGCAUGUGUAUAACGAGUGAAGAUGUAAUGGGAUACUUUUACAUAGGCGCUUCCAAAAUAUCGUGAGGUAUAUUAGGAAAGAUGGAAACCAUCGAAGUCACGCAUGUGUGCAAAAAUAUAUUGCCAGUAAAAUGUCGUGUUCAUCCAGCCAUCAUAAUAGACCGCUCUGUUGGUAGAGAAGAAUCGUGAUGCCUAUAAAGGUGGAAUUUUAUAGGAGUUAAGUAGCGAAGUUCUAAAUAAGAUGGUAGUGUCGUUGAAUCACAGAAAUGUGAGUAUAAUGGAUGUUUAAUGGUCGAGUAGGGCAAAUCGACAUAAAUUUGAUUGGAUAAAAACAAUUCUUAUUAUGAUUAAAGAAUGAUUCUAAUAGGAUAUUAAACUGAAUGACUUAGCCUGAAAGUUGCACAAAACCAAUUGUGUCUAUCCUCGGUAUCUUUUGUAAGAUAUUGGUGAAGAAAGUUAUAGGGUCGCUCCUUAUAGCUCAGACUUCAUUAGAUAGUGACAGAAUAUUACGACAUUAUAUUUUCGUAGGGUGAAGAUCCCUUUAUUGUUACAAUAGAUU